AAAUAAAUAAGUAAAUAAAUAAAUAAACAAACUUUUAAAAAUUAAAGAAGAAAGAAAGCAUUUGCCAACAUGAAUUCUACUCCAUUCUAUUAGUACAUAUUGUUUCACAGUUCUCUAAGCACAGAAGUUAGGCACUUCAGGGUUGGUGUUAACUCUUUCUCACAAAUGAUCUCAGUUUAUAGAGCCAUUUUAAACGGCCAGUUUAUUUCUAGCUGGUCCAUAAGAAAAUAACUGUCCCUCUGAAAUCCCUUAGGACAGUGGUAACCCACAUUAUAUUCAUUCAAGAAGUCAAUGAGUUUCAAUUGUCUAAAUAUUUACUGAUAGCCCACCCAGUGACAGGCACCUUUCAAGGGCAGUCUGGGACAGUUGCUGGCAGCAGAUAGUUGGUACUAAACUGAAAAUAGAGGACUUGAGGUUUGCGGCCUGGAAGCCAAAGUUUCAAGGAAUAACCAAGAGAAGCAAAUAUAAAGCAUAUGACUUACUAAUUAGCGAAUUAUCUGCAGAGACAUUCUUUUUAUUUAACAUAAUAUGUUUUCAAUGAUUUUUUUGACAAUAAACAGCAUGUAAUACAAGUGAAGUUUCAAAUAAAAAAGAACCAGAUCCAAGUUAGUUACUUAAAAUGAUAAAGCUUCCUGUUUUGAAACAGUAAACACUGAAAUUUUUUCUUGCUUACAGGAUGACUUAAAACUCAUUUUCAGGUCUGGCUCCUUAUUGCCAGACAUUUCUCUCUGCCACACCAUGUGUGUCUUGCUCUCUGUUCCAUCUGUGGCUCCCUUCCAACAAAGCCUGCCUGGUAUCUGCCUCAGAGUUCGCCCAAAAGAAACUUGGCAUCGAGAUGGUCAACAGAACUACAGGGACCUUCAGCUGGCUGCAUAGGUCAAAGAAUGGAGUCUCUGGUGCAAGAAUGGAGACUCUGGUGCGAGAAUGGAGUCUGGUGCAAGAAUAGAGUUUUUUCAUGCAUCACACACUUAGAUGUAACCUAUAAAACAUUUUAUAUGUUCCACUUUAAUAACAUAUCCAGGUAUUGAGUACAAGGAGUAUGUUUGCCACAGCUCUGACCCUUGCAUCCUAUGUCAUCUGUACAGGAUGGGGAAUGGAAGGAGCUGAGGUUCAGAAUGUGCUUGGUGUGUUACUUCGUUGGUAAUCAAAAGUAGCACAUUUACAUAUUGGCACAUCAAAAUGUUCUUUUUUGUACAUUGCUGCAGGUUAAGAAAGACACAGCAGGACCUGUGUAGAGUCAGAGAAGGGAAAAACAAGUAUAGUCUGAGAAGGAAGGACUUCCACUCCUAAAUAUAUAGCGAAAACCUACUCAUCAUCUUCUGGGUGGACAGAGCCUGGUUUGUAUCACAGGAAGGGAUAUGGGAAUCAUGAUGCUGUCACCAAAUCAGGUAUCUCACAAAGGAUGAUCAGAGGAGGUCUUUGGAAGCUGAGAGGAUAUAGAUGAAUUUUAGAGAAGAUUAAAAUCUUCUCUCUACACAAUGGGAAGAAGUUAGCAGAGGUCUUUUACCUGGAAGAGCUGCACUGGCCAGCAAUUGAAGUGACUAUGCUCCCUUGCAUGUUGAGAAGAUGCAAAGUCAAGUGGCUGGAGAAACAGAACCACAUUUGCUGAGUACCUACAGUGUGCUAGAUGUUCCCCACAUUAUCUUGUGAAUCCUCCAAAUGGUCUUGCGAUGUAGAUAUUAAUUUUCCUGUUUUUAGAGAUGAGCCAACUGGGACUCAGAGCAUUUAAGUAACUUCCUCAAAAUUCCUGUCAGUAUGUAGCAGAGUUAGAGCUCAGUCUUGGGUCUUUCUGAAGUCAAAGCUUGUUUUCUUUUUGCUAAAGUAGCAGUUUUCAGUCCCAUCAGACCCAAGGCCCCUUUUUAUAAUAAAUAUCUUGUAACGUCUUCUUUACUACCCUGAAAAAAAAUCAUUGAAAACUAGUUUCUUUUCUUUUUUUUUCUUUUUUUUUUUUUUUUUGAGAUGGAGUCUCGCUCUGUCACCCAGGCUGGACUGCAGUGGCGUGAUCUCGGCUCACUGCAACCUCUGUCUCCCAGGUUCAAGCGAUUUUUCAGCCUCAGCCUCCCAAGUAGCUGGGACUACAGGUGCGUGCCACCACACCCAGCUAGUUUUUGUUUUUUUAGUAGAUACAGGGUUUCACUAUGUUGGCCAGGCUGGUCUCAACCUCCUGACCUCAUGAUCCGCCUUCCUUGGCCUCCCAAAGUGCUUGGAUUACAGGCAUAAGCCAUCACACCGGGCCUGAAAACUAAUCUUAUGUAUAGUACUUGGGUUUUGUUUGUUCGUUUGUUUUGUUUUUGUUUUUUGAGACAGGGUCUCACUCUGUUGCCCAGACCGGAGUGUAGUGGCAGGAUCAUGGCUCACUGUAGCCUCAACUUCCUGGGCUCAAGAAAUCCUCCCACCUCAGCCUCCCAAGUAGCUGGGGCUACAGGUGCAUACCACCAUGCCUGGCUAAUUUUUAUUUUUUGUGGAAAUGGGAUUUUGCCAUGUUGUCCAGGCUGGUCUCAAACUUCUGAGCUCAAGCGAUCCUCCCACCUCGGUCUCCCAAAGUACUGGGAUUACAGGCAUGAGCCACUGCACCUGGCCUAGUACUUGCUUUUCUUAAAAAAGCAAUAAUAUCUACAUAAAAACUUGUACACAAAUGUUUAUAGUGGCAUUACUCAUAAUAGCUAAAAAGUGGAAACGCCCAAACAUUAUCAACUGGAUGAUGGAUACAUAUAGUCUAUUCAUACAGUGGAAUAUUAUUCAGCAAUAAAAAAUGAAUGAAAUAUUGAUACAUGCUACAACAUAGAAGACUCUUGAAAACAUUAUGUUGAGUGAAUGAAACCAGUCACAAAGAACAAUAUACCAUGUGGUUCAAUUUAUAUGAAAUAUCCAGAAUAGGCAGAUCCAUAGAGAUGGAAAGUAGAUUAGUGGUUGCCUAGAGCUGGGGGAUGGAGGGACUGAGGGUGAAAUCUAAGGAAAGCAGGAUUUUUUUUUUUUUUUUUUGAGACGAAGUCUCACUUUUGUCCCCCAGGCUGGAGUGCAAUGGCACGAUCUCGGCUCACUGGAACCUCUGCCUCCUGGGUUCAAGCGAUUCUCCUGCGUCAGCCUCCCAAGUAGCUGGGAUUACAGGCACCUGCCACCAAGCCCAGCUAAUUUUUGUAUUUUUAGUAGAGACAGGGUUUCACCACGUUGGCCAGGCUAGUCUUGAACUCCUGACCUCAGGUGAUCUGCCUACCUCGGUCCCCCAUAGUGCUGUGAUACAGGUGUGAGCCACCGCGCCCGGCUGACCGAGCAGGAUUUUUUUGAAGGGUGUAAUGAAAGGAUUCUAAAACUGAUUGUGGUAAUGGAUGCACAAUUGUGACUAUACUAAAAACCAUUGAGUUGUAUACUUUAAGUGGGUAAAUUGUAUGGUGUGUGAAUUAUAUCUCAAUAAAGUACUUUUUAAAAAGCAAUAAAAUAAUGUCUUGGC
rnacentral:lncRNA from 1 species